GCAACUGUAGCUUAGCUGGAUAGAGCGUUCGGCUACGAACCGGAAGGUCGGGGGUUCAAAUCCCUCCAGUUGCACCA
rnacentral:tRNA from 1 species